rnacentral:rRNA from 1 species
AUGCAAGUCGAACGGCAGCACGGAGAGCAAUCCUGGUGGCGAGUGGCGAACGGGUGAGUAAUACAUCGGAACGUGUCCUGUAGUGGGGGAUAGCCCGGCGAAAGCCGGAUUAAUACCGCAUACGCUCUACGGAGGAAAGGGGGGGAUCUUCGGACCUCCCGCUACAGGGGCGGCCGAUGGCAGAUUAGCUAGUUGGUGGGGUAAAGGCCUACCAAGGCGACGAUCUGUAGCUGGUCUGAGAGGACGACCAGCCACACUGGGACUGAGACACGGCCCAGACUCCUACGGGAGGCAGCAGUGGGGAAUUUUGGACAAUGGGGGCAACCCUGAUCCAGCAAUGCCGCGUGUGUGAAGAAGGCCUUCGGGUUGUAAAGCACUUUUGUCCGGAAAGAAAACCUCCGCCCUAAUACGGUGGGGGGAUGACGGUACCGGAAGAAUAAGCACCGGCUAACUACGUGCCAGCAGCCGCGGUAAUACGUAGGGUGCAAGCGUUAAUCGGAAUUACUGGGCGUAAAGCGUGCGCAGGCGGUUCGCUAAGACCGAUGUGAAAUCCCCGGGCUUAACCUGGGAACUGCAUUGGUGACUGGCGGGCUAGAGUAUGGCAGAGGGGGGUAGAAUUCCACGUGUAGCAGUGAAAUGCGUAGAGAUGUGGAGGAAUACCGAUGGCGAAGGCAGCCCCCUGGGCCAAUACUGACGCUCAUGCACGAAAGCGUGGGGAGCAAACAGGAUUAGAUACCCUGGUAGUCCACGCCCUAAACGAUGUCAACUAGUUGUCGGGUCUUCAUUGACUUGGUAACGUAGCUAACGCGUGAAGUUGACCGCCUGGGGAGUACGGUCGCAAGAUUAAAACUCAAAGGAAUUGACGGGGACCCGCACAAGCGGUGGAUGAUGUGGAUUAAUUCGAUGCAACGCGAAAAACCUUACCUACCCUUGACAUGUAUGGAACCUGGGCCGAAAAGGUCGGGGUGCCCCGAAAGGGAGCCAUAACACCGGGUGCUGCAUGGCUGUCGUCAGCU